rnacentral:rRNA from 1 species
CCUACGGUAGGCAGCAGUGAGGGAUAUUGCACAAUGGGGGGAACCCUGAUGCAGCGACGCAGCGUGGGUGAAGAAGGGCCUCGGCGCGUAAAGCCCUGUCAGCAGGGAAGAAAAUGACGGUACCUGAAGAAGAAGCCACGGCUAACUACGUGCCAGAAGCCGCGGUAAUACGUAGGGGGCAAGGGUGAUACGGAUUUACUGGGUGUAAAGGGGGCGCAGACGGCGAUGCAAGCCAGGAGUGAAAGCCCGGUGCCCAACCCCGGGACUGCUCUUGGAACUGCGUGGCUGGAGUGCAGGAGGGGCAGGUGGAAUUCCUGGUGUGGCGGUGAAAUGCGUAGAUAUCAGGAGGAACACCGGUGGCGAAGGCGGCCUGCUGGACUGCAACUGACGUUGAGGCCCGAAAGCGUGGGGAGCAAACAGGAGUAGAUACCCUGGUAGUC